GGACUACCGGGGUAUCUAAUCCCGUUUGCUCCCCUGGCUUUCGCACCUCAGUGUCAGAAACCAACCAGUGCAUCGCUUUCGCCGCCGGCGUUCCUUCCGAUAUCAACGCAUUUCACCGCUCCACCGGAAAUUCCAUGCACCCCUUUGGUCCUCAAGCAGCGCAGUCUUGGGCGCAGUUCCUCGGUUAGGCCGAGGGAUUUCACACCCAACUUACGCCGCCACCUACGUGCGCUUUAUGCCCAGUGAUUCCGAACAACGCUCGCCACCUUCGUCUUACCGCGGCGGCUGGCAC
rnacentral:rRNA from 2 species